UAAUAGAAUGAAAGGCAUCUGGUGAAGGUCAACAACAUGAUAUAUUACUAUUAGAAUGAAAGGCAUCUGGUGAAGGUCAACAACAUGAUAUAUUACUAUUAGAAUGAAAGGCUGGGCAUCUGGUGAAGGUCAACAACAUGAUAUAUUACUAUUAGAAUGAAAGGCAUCUGGUGAAGGUCAACAACAUGAUAUAUUACUAUUAGAAUGAAAGGCUGGGCAUCUGGUGAAGGUCAACAACAUGAUAUAUUACUAUUAGAAUGAAAGGCUGGGCAUCUGGUGAAGGUCAACAACAUGAUAUAUUACUAUUAGAAUGAAAGGCAUCUGGUGAAGGUCAACAACAUGAUAUAUUACUAUUAGAAUGAAAGGCAUCUGGUGAAGGUCA